AUGAAUCAUCGAAUUUUUGAACGCACAUUGCACUCUCCUCGGAGAGUAUGCCUGUUUGAGUGUCAGCCUAUAAAAAUCGACAUCGUUGCUCUUGCUCGGUGGCGUUCGUCGGAAAUUGGGUCAUCUUAAAUCUUUUUGAUUUAAGCGACUUAACAUUUUCUAUUGGUUCCAUGAACGUUUCUUAGAUCUAUUUCUGGACACGCUUAAGGUAUCCAUUUUUACUAGGUGUAACCCUCAUAUCGGAUCGCGUCCAUCAGCUUUCAUG
rnacentral:misc_RNA from 1 species